ACAGAUCGUUCAGAGUUUGAUCCUGGCUCAGGAUGAACGCUGGCGGCGUGCCUAACACAUGCAAGUCGAACGAAGCACUUAUGACAGAUUCUUCGGAUGAAGUCAUAUUUGACUGAGUGGCGGACGGGUGAGUAACGCGUGGGUAACCUGCCUCAUACAGGGGGAUAACAGUUAGAAAUGACUGCUAAUACCGCAUAAGCGCACAGUACCGCAUGGUACGGUGUGAAAAACUCUGGUGGUAUGAGAUGGACCCGCGUCUGAUUAGCUAGUUGGUGGGGUAACGGCCUACCAAGGCGACGAUCAGUAGCCGACCUGAGAGGGUGACCGGCCACAUUGGGACUGAGACACGGCCCAA
rnacentral:rRNA from 1 species